rnacentral:rRNA from 2 species
AGUCGAGCGAAUCGAUGGGAGCUUGCUCCCUGAGAUUAGCGGCGGACGGGUGAGUAACACGUGGGCAACCUGCCUAUAAGACUGGGAUAACUUCGGGAAACCGGAGCUAAUACCGGAUACGUUCUUUUCUCGCAUGAGAGAAGAUGGAAAGACGGUUUACGCUGUCACUUAUAGAUGGGCCCGCGGCGCAUUAGCUAGUUGGUGAGGUAAUGGCUCACCAAGGCGACGAUGCGUAGCCGACCUGAGAGGGUGAUCGGCCACACUGGGACUGAGACACGGCCCAGACUCCUACGGGAGGCAGCAGUAGGGAAUCUUCCGCAAUGGACGAAAGUCUGACGGAGCAACGCCGCGUGAACGAAGAAGGCCUUCGGGUCGUAAAGUUCUGUUGUUAGGGAAGAACAAGUACCAGAGUAACUGCUGGUACCUUGACGGUACCUAACCAGAAAGCCACGGCUAACUACGUGCCAGCAGCCGCGGUAAUACGUAGGUGGCAAGCGUUGUCCGGAAUUAUUGGGCGUAAAGCGCGCGCAGGUGGUUCCUUAAGUCUGAUGUGAAAGCCCACGGCUCAACCGUGGAGGGUCAUUGGAAACUGGGGAACUUGAGUGCAGAAGAGGAAAGUGGAAUUCCAAGUGUAGCGGUGAAAUGCGUAGAGAUUUGGAGGAACACCAGUGGCGAAGGCGACUUUCUGGUCUGUAACUGACACUGAGGCGCGAAAGCGUGGGGAGCAAACAGGAUUAGAUACCCCGGUAGUCCACGCCGCAGACAAGAGUGCUAGUGUUAGAGGGUUUCCGCCCUUUAUUGCUGCAGCUAACCAUUAACAACUCCCCCUGGGAGAACGGUCCCACAGUUAAAAUUUCAAUGAAAUUAAUAGGGGCCCGGCAAA